rnacentral:rRNA from 1 species
UGCCCUACGGGAGGCAGCAGUCGGGAAUAUUGCGCAAUGGAGGAAACUCUGACGCAGUGACGCCGCGUGCAGGAAGAAGGUUUUCGGAUUGUAAACUGCUUUAGACAGGGAAGAAAGAAAUGACGGUACCUGUAGAAUAAGCUCCGGCUAACUACGUGCCAGCAGCCGCGGUAAUACGUAGGGAGCAAGCGUUAUCCGGAUUUACUGGGUGUAAAGGGAGCGUAGACGGCGAAGAAAGUCUGAAGUGAAAGCCCGCGGCUCAACCGCGGAAUGGCUUUGGAAACUUUUUUGCUGGAGUACCGGAG